AGAUUGCCAUUAAUUCUGAAACCAAGCUCAGCAACCCACUCCCAGUUAAUGAAAGCAGCUCGUGUUGUUUUUUUUGUUUUUUGUUUUUGAAGGGAAAUAACCGAAGGGGGCUUGGAAUGACAAUUACUAGUUUUAGAUUAGUUCCUAAUCUUUUUUUCUCCCCUUCUUGUCGGUCAGAAAGAGCUGCUAGAAAUCGCGCGGCGGCGGCGGCGGCAACAGCAAAAAGGCAGCUUCGAAUCCUGUCGCUCCCGAAAACGCAGCAAGAAUGCAGAUUGGGGAAGCAUUUACUUUACAAGAAUAUUCUUGUGCGUUUGUCCUGACACACCCAAGGGGAGUGAACGUGCUAUGUUCUUCUGUAUGGACCACGGACUGGAAUAAAGGCGCAGUCAUGAAAGCUUCAUUGAACGAUGUUGACAUAAUUUGUUGUCUUUAGAGCCCACGGAGGUUUUGUCGUUUGGGGGCGGAGGGCUUUCCACAGUUGUAACCAUGUUGUUGCAAGCCAUCCCAGCUGUUCAGAACUAAGAUUUAUGCAACAAAAACAAAACUCAUUGACUAUUCAAGCAGUUCCCAUCCUCCUGGAGAGUUUCUGUCACCCACACGUUGCAACAAGAGUGAGCAAAAAGUGAUGGGCUUGGUGUGUGACUCACUUCAGUGGGUUAAAGAAGGCAGCAGAGGAUUCCAACCAACAUGUCAGAACAAGCUGGGGGAAAAAGGAAGGCCCAAAUAGAGAGAGAAAAUGAAAAAAAAAAUAGCCUCUCCCUUUCUUUCUCUUUUUUCUCAUCUACCCCGGGAAUCAAUAUUCUUUAAGGAGCAGGGAGAAAGCUGCAGCUGAAGACAUUUUUUAAAAAUAACAUUUUCCUCUAAAGUUGUCAUUUGUUUAUAUCACUUAUCUUCACUAGCGGUUUGCAAAUGUGAGCAUGCACCACCUCUGGGCAUGCACAGAGCCUUCCACGCAUGCGCAGAGCAUCAAAAAUGUGGAUAAAUGGGACGUGAUUACGUCCGGGCAGGUGGGCGGAGCCUCCCGCAGCUGCCGCUACCAGUUCGCCUAAACUGGAUAGAACCGGCUCAAUACCACCACUGGUGUACAUCUCCAACAAUGAGAAUGGUGCCCGUUUCUUUUUUUUCCUGGUUCUGUGUCUUAAAGCAUAGUUUCUCAGAUGUUGUAGUAUAAUGAUCACCUCAAUGAAAUUGCAUCUACAUGGAGGGAAGGAGGCAGUGGGGUACCCCAAAGCUCUGUUUUAGGCCCAAUACUCUUCAACAUCUUCAUCAAUGAUAUGGAUAGAUGGGGAACUCAUCAAAUUUGCAGAUGACACCAAGCUGGCAGGAAUAGCCAACACUCCAGAAGAUAGGCUCAAGAUACAAAAGGAUCUUGACAGACUUGAACACUGGGCGCUAUCUAA